rnacentral:misc_RNA from 1 species
UAGGCUCUCUUUCUAGAAAGACUGUGAUCUGGAAUUGUUUUGUAAAUUAUGAUUUUAAUGCACUAAUUUAAUGGAAAUAGUAGGUAAGAACUUCACUUAUCAAUUAGUUUCUCACUUUCUGUUCUGCCUCUACACUUUGCAACAAGGGACAGGGAUUUGUGAUCUUUAUUAUUAUAAUUUUUAUAACCUGCAUCUUUCUAUGAAAAUAUUGAGUUGAGCAAGAGAAAGUAUAAUAGAGUCCUCUUUCAGGCACUUUCUUUUCCUCCUUUCACGCUUAUAAGGAAGUUGUUGGUCUUAAGACAUCCAGCACUUAUGUGAAGAAACUUACUAUUUUUUUUUCCUCUCCUUCUGUGGUUUUUUUCUUGAUGC